rnacentral:rRNA from 1 species
UACGUAGGGGGCAAGCGUUGUCCGGAUUUAUUGGGCGUAAAGAGCGUGUAGGCGGCCAGACAGGUCCACUGUGAAAACUCGAGGCUCAACCUCGAGAGGUCGGUGGAAACCGUCUGGCUAGAGUCCGGAAGAGGAGAGUGGAAUUCCAGGUGUAGCAGUGAAAUGCGUAGAGAUCUGGAGGAACACCGAUGGCGAAGGCAGCCUCCUGGGCUAGUACUGACGCUCAUGCACGAAAGCGUGGGGAGCAAACAGG